rnacentral:rRNA from 1 species
CCAGACUCCUACGGGAGGCAGCAGUGGGGAAUAUUGCACAAUGGGGGAAACCCUGAUGCAGCGACGCCGCGUGGGCGACGAAGCGCUCCGGCGCGUAAAGCCCUGUCAGCAGGGAAGAAAAUGACGGUACCUGAAGAAGAAGCCCCGGCUAACUACGUGCCAGCAGCCGCGGUAAUACGUAGGGGGCAAGCGUUAUCCGGAUUUACUGGGUGUAAAGGGGGCGCAGACGGCGAUGCAAGCCAGGAGUGAAAGCCCGGGGCCCAACCCCGGGACUGCUCUUGGAACUGCGUGGCUGGAGUGCAGGAGGGGCAGGCGGAAUUCCUGGUGUAGCGGUGAAAUGCGUAGAUAUCAGGAGGAACACCGGUGGCGAAGGCGGCCUGCUGGACUGCAACUGACGUUAAGGCCCGAAAGCGUGGGGAGCAAACAGGAUUAGAUACCCCAGUAU